UACGGGGGGAGCAAGCGUUGUUCGGAUUUACUGGGCGUAAAGGGCGCGUAGGCGGUCGUGACAAGUCCCUUGGGAAAUCUCCGGGCUUAACUCGGAACGGUCAAGUGAUACUGUCGGACUAGAGUACAGAAGGGGCAACUGGAAUUCUCGGUGUAGCGGUGAAAUGCGUAGAUAUCGAGAGGAACACCUGCGGCGAAGGCGGGUUGCUGGGCUGAUACUGACGCUGAGGCGCGAAAGCCAGGGGAGCGAACGGG
rnacentral:rRNA from 1 species